ensembl:lncRNA
CUGCUGGGAGAGAUUGAAGGCAGGAGAAGGGGACAACAGAAGAUGAGAUGGUUGGAUGGCAUCACCGAUUGUAUGGACAUGAGUCUGAGCAAGCUCCAGGAGUUGGUGAUGGAUAGGGAGGCCUGGCAUGAUGCAGUCCAUGGGGUCGCAAAGAGUUGGACAUGACUGAACGACUGAACUGAACUGAGACUGGCUUUAUCCUGAGGGUGUGCUGGGGCUUGAAAGCAGAUGCCCAUGGCACGAGGGUUUUCUGCAGAAUGAUGAUAACAGGUGCUUGGAGCCAGGCAGCUGCUCAAUAACUGCUCAUCAUCACCGUCCAAAGCCAAUGACCCUGAGUGGGCUGUACAACCCCCACCCUCUGUUGCCGCUUCCUGCUCUUCUUUGCCACAAGCAGCUCCUCUGAUCUGGGUGGAUCUCAGCCCCACUUCCUUCUGAGGUUGGGAGUCCAGAGUCCUGGAUCCAGAACGCAGCCUGGCCCCAGCAGACACCCAAGCCGGCCCAGGGGCCCUCUCGGCCCAGGAGGCUGGGGCCGGGUGGCAGCCUGAUCGCCUAUCUGUUGGUCCUCUGUCUUGGCCUGUCCUCGAGGCUGCUGGCCCUGGAGCCUCCCCGCCGCUCAUUGCCCAGUCCCUCCCUGCCCUGUAAGCUGUGUCUGUCCCCAUCUCCUAGCGUGCUGCACCCAGAGAGCUCCCGCAUCACCCCCAGCUCAGCACCCCUCGUUGGGGCAAAAACUCAAAUCUCAUUAAAGGUCGUUGA